rnacentral:lncRNA from 1 species
CUGGAUGACACAGUGUAGAUGUUGUGGUGGUGGGGGAAGGAAAGUUCCAUCUGGAUGACACAGUGUAGAUGUUGUGGUGGUGGGGGAAGGAAAGGUCCAUCUGGAUUACACAGUGUAGAUGUUGUGGUGGUGGGAAGGAAAGUUCCAUCUGGAUGACACAGUGUAGAUGUUGUGGUGGUGGGGGAAGGAAAGUUCCAUCUGGAUGACACAGUGUAGAUGUUGUGGUGGUGGGAAGGAAAGGUCCAUCUGGAUUACAUAGUGUAGAUGUUGUGGUGGUGGGGGAAGGAAAGUUCCACCUGGAUGACACAGUGUAGAUGUUGUGGUGGUGGUGGAAGGAAAGUUCCAUCUGGAUGACACAGUGUAGAUGUUGUGGUGGUGGGGGAAGGAAAGUUCCAUCUGGAUGACACAGUGUAGAUGUUGUGGUGGUGGGAAGGAAAG